rnacentral:SRP_RNA from 1 species
GCCAGGUGUGGUGGCGUGUGCCUGUAAUCCCAGCUACUUGGGGGGCUGAGGUAGGAGGAUUGCUUGAAUCCAGGAGGUUGAGGCUGCAGUGAGCCAAGAUCACCCCACUGCACUCCAGCCUGGGUAACAGAGUGAGACCCUGUCUCAA